UUUGCUGUCAGCGAGGCUCAGUUCCAAAUAUAGUUCGUCAAGGGAAAGAACGAGAGAAGUAGAAUAGAAAAAUAUUUAUUUAUAAAUUCUAAAUUACAAGUGAUGAUUCGCAUUUCCAACUGCUUGCCCAUCAUAUUGAAAAUGAUGUACAAUACGAAACUGCGCGAGAAGCGUUCAAAAUUUCAUCAGCCAAACUCAGUUGCAUUUUUCCGCGAGUUUUUUAAAUUUAUCAAGAAUAAUGAGAAAAGCUAUAGAUGUCCGAGAGCGUUGUAAAUUUCAAGUCCACUUGCAAAAUUGAAGCUGAAACCCGUUUUGCAAGAGGCUUAAAUUUUUAAUUGCUUUCGACGCUCAUCGACUUCUAGCGGUUUAUUUUUGGAUUUUUGAUUACUUUUACAUAUAUAUCUAGUAUUUGCUUAGGUUGUGAGUGUAGGAAUGGAAAAAGGUUAAAUAUAGUGAAAAGAUCCUGUUAAUGUAAAAACGAAGUUUCAUUCAUAAUUUACCGAGCAACUAC